CGUCGAGGUUCCGGUUAGCGGCUCUGUCAUUACAUCAAAAAUGAAAAUUAUAAGUUUAAAACAUAAAUGAAAUUACAAAAAUCCAAUCUAUGCAGCUUCUUUUGGACUCUUGACUUGAGUUUCACUUCCCUAUUCUUCAGGCGGGCUCCUGACUUGCAAAUUCAUUAAUCUGUUGACUUUCACUUUCUUCACCUUAUUGCUUAAAUUUCCAUUUAUUCGCCCUGUGCUUCGGGAGGGCUCCUGACUUGCCAUUUCAUCACCCCGUUUUUCAGGAGGGCUCCUGUUUUGCAAUUUCAUCAUUCUGUUCUUCAGGCAGUCUUCUGUCUUGCAAUUUCGUCACCCUGUUCUUCAGGCGGGCUCCUGACUUUUAAUUUCAUCACCCUAUUCUUCAAGAGGGCUCCUGAAACCAAAAUCAAAACUAGAAUGAAUUAAUCAAAAUCAAAACUAGAACUAAAACUAUCCCACACAAAGAUUAUCAUAAGAAAGUAUUUCAUUUUUGAAAGAGUGGUCCCAUUUUUCAGGAGAUACCCGAACAGAAAGUAAAAUCUCAUUUUUCAGGAGGAUCCUGAACAGAAAGUAAAAUCUCAUUUUUCGGGAGCGUCUUGAACAGAAAGUAAAAUCCCAUUUUUCAGGAGGGUCCUGAACAUAAAGUGAAAUCCCAUUCUUUAGGAGGGUCUUGAACAGAAAGUAAAAUCUAAUUUUUCAGGAGGGUCCUGAACAUAAAGAGAAAUUUCAUUUUUUAGGAGGGUCCUAAACAGAAGGUAAAAUCCUAUUUUUCAGGGGGGUCCUGAACAUAAAGUAAGAUCUCAUUUUUCAGGAGGGUCCUAAACAGAAAGUAAAAUCCCAUUUUUCAAGAAGGUCCUGAACAUAAAGUAAAUUCUCAUUUUUCAGGAGGGUCCUAAACAGAAAGUAAAAUCCCAUUUUUCAAGAAGGUCCUGAACAUAAAGUAAAUUCUCAUUUUUCAGGAGGGUCCUGAGCAUAAAAUGAAAUCUCAUUUUUCAGGAAGGUCCUAAACAUAAACUAAAAUCCCAUUUUUAAGGAGGUUCCUGAACAUAAAAUAAAAUCCCAUUUUUUAGGAGGGUCCUGAACAGAAAGUAAAAUCCACAUUUUUAGGAGGGUCCUGAACAGAAAGUGAAAUCCCAUUAUUCAGGAGGGUCCUGAUCAUAAAGUGAAAUCCCAUUUUCCAGGAGGGUCCUAAACAGAAAGUAAAAUCCCAUUGUUUAGGAGGGUCCUGAACAUAAAGUAAAAUCUCAUUUUUAGGAGGGUCCUGAACUAAAAGUAAAAUCUCAUUUUUCAGAAGGGUCCUGAACAUAAAGUGAAAUCCCAUUUUUCAGGAGGGUCCUAUACAUAAUGCAAAAUCUCAUUUUUCAGGAGGAUCUUGAACAUAAAAUAAAAUUUUAUUUUUCAGGAGGGGCCUGAACAUAAAAGUAAAAUCCCAUUUUUCAGGAGGGUCCUGAACAUAAAGUGAAAUCCUAUUUUUCAGGAGGGUCCUGAACAUAAAGUAAAAGUCCCUUUUUCAGGAGAGUCCUGAACAUAAAGUAAAAUUUCAUUUUUCAGGAGGGUCCUAAACAGAAAGUAAAAUCUCAUUUUUUAGGAGGGUCCUAAACAGAAAGUAAAAUCCCAUUUUUCAGGAGGGUCCUGAACAGAAAGUUAAAUUUUAUUUUUCAGGAGGGUCCUGAACAGAAAGUAAAAUCCUAUUUUUCAGGAGGGUCCUGAACAUAAAAUGAAAUCCCAUUUUUCAGGAGGAUCCUAAACAGAAGGUAGCAUCCCAUUUUUCAAUAGGGUCCUGAACAAAAAGAAAAAUUCCAUUUUUCAAGAAGGUCCUGAACAUAAAGUGAAAUCCCAUUUUUCAGGAGGGUACUGAACAAAAAUUAAAAUCUCAUUUUCCAGGAGGGUCCUGUACAGAAAGUAAAAUCCCAUUUUUUAGGAGGGUCCUGAACAUAAAGUGAAAUCCCAUUUUUCAGGAGGAUCAUGGACAAAAAGUAAAAUCUCAUUUUUCUGGAGGGUCCUGAACGAAAAGUAAAAUCCAAUUUCUCAAGAGGGUCAUAAAGUGAAAUCUCAUUUUCAGUAGGGUCCUGAACAGAAAGUAAAAUCCUAUUUUUCAGGAGGGUCCUGAACAGAAAGUAAAAUUCUAUUUUUCAGGAUGGUCCUGAACAUAAGGUGAAAUUCCAUUUUUCAGGAGGGUCCCGAAUAAAAGUAAAAUUCUAUUUUUUAGGAGGGUCCUGAACAGAAAGUAAAAUCCCAUUUUUCAGGAGGGUCCUGAACAGAAAAUGAAUUCCCAAUUUUCUUGAGGGUCCUGAACAGAAAGUGAAAUCCCAUUUUUCAGGAGGGUCCUGAACAAAAAGUAAAAUCCCAUUUUUCAGGAGGGUCCUGAACAGAAAAUAAAGUUCCAUUUUUCAGGAGGGUCCUGAACAGAAUAUAAAUUCCCAUUUUUUACGAGGGUCCUAACAGAAAAUAAAAUCUCAUUUUUCAAGACGGUCCUGAACAUAAAGUGAAAUCCCAUUUUUCAGGAGGGUCCUGAAGAGAAAUUAAAAUCUAUGGAUCUGCAUUUCCAAUGGUAGUUGUAUUAAGUGAAGCAAAUUUGCCCCUGUUUCAACAAAGAAAAUUUGUCUGUUACAAACUUAGUGGUGGUUUGCAGCACUUGGCUUUCCUGACACCUGUUCCAAUGUUCAUUCUCUUUAUUUUGUUUCAGACUGCUGGCACUUGCCUCUUCUUUGUCAUGGCAAUGACUCUGAAACAAACACAGUAUCUCUUCUUCGCCAUGCUCCUCAGAUAAACCCUUUAAACCUUGGUAUUUCUAUGAGUUCCCAGACUUAUCUAUUGACAAAACUUUCUGCAUUCUUUGUUCUGGCUUUCAAUCUUGUUUCUUUCAUGUGCUGGCCCUUUGUCUUGAUUUGUGCAAUUGAAGAAACUGGUAGCUAAUUUUGAAAUCUUUUCUCACUUGUUUUGACAUGGACUUGACUCAAAUAUAAGAGAAAAAUGACAACAAUUUUUGUUUCAUUUGUAUAACUAACUCAAUGAAAUAAAAAUAUAACUAAAGAGAAGAAAGAAACGACCAUGAAUGUCCCCGUUGAAAAAAAUAAAAGAAAAGUUUAUCUGAAAAUAACAGUUAGCUCUAAUGAUUAUGAUAUGCAUAUCGGAUUAAACUGCCUGAUCUUUAUAUCCAAAACUUUCUACCAAUUUUUGUUGAGUUAAUGACCUCGAAAUUGAGUUGCUUCCUUAGGCCAAUUGCAUUUAAGACCUCAUUCGGCUAGUGGCCCCUAUAAUGGUUUUUGCCAACAAACCUCUCUCAUUUUCUUUUUCCCAGCUCACUAUUUCCCAAUGGUGUCCGUAAGGGAUUUUCACUAAUGAAACUCUCUUAUUUUCAUUUGUCUCAACUCACCGUCGUCUUACAGCGCCUGUGAGGGUUUUCACCGAUAAGACUCUCUCAUUGUUAUCUCCCUCAGCUUACCAUCAUCUUACGGUGCCCGUGAGGGUUUUUACCGAUAAGACUCUCUUAUUUUUAUUUUCCUCAGCUUACCAUCAUCUUACGGUGCCUGUGAGGGUUUUCACUGAUAAGACUAUCUCAUUUUUAUUUCUCUCCCGAUUCUUAUUGCCGAGGUAACAAGUAGUUCCCAAAAUGCGUCAUCACAUUCAUUACAUGCUUAGUUUUAAAAUUCUCAAAGAUUGAUCUGAAGGUCUUUCUUUGGUUGUAGCUUGGCUUUUGGAUAAGGUUAGAAUAAAAGGAUAACAUGAGGCCUAAACGACACUUAAAGUGGGGUAGGACUUACAACUUUUGGAAUAGACUCAAACAAUGAAGAUUAAAUCAUGCCCCAGUUUCUUUUGACUGGGCAAUUCUAAAUUGUUUAUUUGGUUGGACCAAGCCCUUAGUAGGGCAGCCAACGUAUCUCACUCCUGAGAGAAGAGAAUCAGGUCAUGCGUAGUUAUGGCAGCUUAUUUUGCAUGAUUUAGACUUUUGAUUCUUUUUCUUGUUUUGACACUCUUUUCUCUUUGGAUUUUUUCUGACUCUAUUUGUCUUGACACUUUUCUUUUCUUUUUCUUUUUUGACAUAUUUUCUAUUUCUUCUUUUUUUUUUUGAAAUUUUUCUGGCUCUAUUGUUUUUCUUGACACUUUUCUUUUGAGCUUUGCCGACUCUAUCUUGAUUCCAAAAGAGGGGUAUGAAAGAAAGUAGGACUAAAGCUCAAAUGGGGUAAACAAAGAAUGACACGAUGUUUGGAUAGCAGAAUGAAAUGCCUUCGUCAUAUCAAUCCUUGAAAAUGCAAGUAUAUAUCAUACACUAUGAAAGUAAGAAAUGAAGAUCAUUUGUGACAUUUUUUAAGUAUUAACUUUAACUGAGUCUGUGCGUCACUACUCUUGCACUUUGUUCAACAUAUCACUCCACUUUUGUUGUACAUUCCUCACAUCAAAUGACUCAUGCUUUCGUGGAGUUGAUUUUACUAUCACUCGGUAUCAUACAUCCGCUAUUUGACCUAAUUGAGCAAUGUUUUCAAUUGAUAACCAAGUUAUUCUUGUGAUUCUCAAAAUAAUUACCUUAAUUUUCAAAGAAGGCUUGAACUUGUCACCAAAUAUCUCAGCACACUACCUAUUUUCUUAGAUGCUCUUUUUUUUAUAAUUUUAACCCUCUGAUUCAAUGUUCAUGCUUAAAUUGAAUUUUAAGAUCAGGCUGAAAAUUCCGCUAGCAUGUCAUAGCACUAGAAUUAACCUAAAAUGUACUGUGUAAAGAAAACAAACAAACAACACAUUUAAAACAGAAAGGAAAAAGGGAUACUUCAUUUAAUUAAAAUAAAAGAUAGAAGGGUUUGAACAUAACGACAAAUGGACAAACUAAGAUAGAUCGUGAACUACAAUUCUGGAAUAAUUCGGAUAACAGAAAAUAAAACAAAACAAGCUACCAGACCUCUUCCUAGUAGGGAGAGGGGUGACUUCUCAAUUGCUCAGCCUGACAUAUUAGCCACUGGUUUGUAUAUCAGCAUGACUAAAGUUUUCCUCACUCUCAAUGUCCUACACUAUAAUCAAUUUGUCUUGAAUCAUCUUUUCAAUUUCUCUUUUCAAAGCACGACAAUCUUCAAUACUGUGACCCUGAACAUCAGAAUGAUAUGCACAUCCUACAUUAGGAUCAAAACUUCUUGAAUGCGGGUCAGGAGUAUACCAAGGAGAGGAGUAAUCAUGCCUCACUGUGCCAAUCUCAGAAAUAAACUGGCAUACGACUCUCCAGUUGGUGUGAAACUAUCCCUCAAUUUCUGCCUCAUUUCAUUGUUUAACUUGGAUCGAACAUCGGGCCUGGAAGGGCUUUGGUAUGUUUGUGGAGUUGGAGGAUGACUUUGAAGAGUUAGUGCGCGCCAUUGUGGGUAAGGAGGGAGUUGAACAUAUGGUUGUGCACAAUAUACUAGAUAUGGAGGUGGGGAAACAAAGUAUAUUAGAUUUUGAGAGUGAUUAUGGAGAGCUUGGGUAUGAACUUGGGCUUGAGACUGACGGCAACGAUGACGUCGUCUUCAUGGAUGUGCCUGUUCUCCAACUAUAAUAGCAGUGUCAUCUUCCUCAUUCUUCUUCCCUCUGAGUUCCCUCAAUUGAUUGCAAUAUUGUCCCAAAUGUUUCACGGAUUUCUCAUGCCCAUCUUGCUCCUUAAAUUUCGACAUCUCAAAGAUUGGAAGAAGGUUAGCACUUAAAGGCAUGCCCCAGUCUUUGUAUAAAACAUCUUUUUUAUCUGUAGGUCCUAGAGAAUUUUUCAUAGCAUUUUCUGCACUCCUCAUUUUUCCCACCAUUUUCUCUAACUCUUCUGGCACACUGGACUUCUUGUUAAGUAAUUUUGGUGGUCUAGUUAACUUAAAAACAGGCUCAGGAGUAUAACAAUGAUCACCAAAAGUAUUGAAUAUAAGUUCACUAGUAGCAUGGGGACAUACAACCGUUGGGCGAGCCAGUGCGAAAGUCCCAGUAGAGGAUUGAGCAACAAGAUCGCAGAUGACAUGUGGUGUUGUGAAUGUAGCAGGCUUAUGCUAAGGAGCUAGAGGAAAAGUGGUGGAAGUAUUGAGAUGCUUUUGUCUUGGAAUAAGUUCUGAGUCAUGUUGCGGUACAUCAACAGCAAUAGAAAACUGACUUUGAGAUUUUGGUGGAAAACUCGAGGUAUUUGUAGGAUCAAUAAAGGGAAAUGGAGGAGGAGGCAACCCACUGACCCAAGUUCGAUACAUUUCUGUCAUUUGUUGUCUUAGCCUCCUAAUCUCUUGCUUCAAACUCUCAUUUUCCUGAUUCUUUGUUUGAUCCAUGAUGUCACUCUCUAUAUCUUGGUCGGACACAACUAACCCUUUGGAUUUGGUGUGAUGUGAAUGACCAGUCAAAAUGCCACAAACCAACCACCUUAAACUGACUCAACAAAAACAACAAAUGUGUUGGAGUUCAACAUUUUUUCAAAACCUCUUUUUCCUUCUUAUUUUUGUUUUUUUUAAAAGAUCACCGAACCCAAAAAGGGCGCCUACGUAUCUCACUCCCAAGAGAGAAGAAUCAGGUGUGCGUAGUUCGUGAAGUCUUGCCAGAAUGGCCAAUUAAACUCUUUUUCUUUUUCUUGAAACUUUAAAAAGAAAAGAAUAUAACAAUUUGUCAAAAGAAUUGACGAAAAUCUUUUUGNNNNNNNNNNNNNNNNNNNNNNNNNNNNNNNNNNNNNNNNNNNNNNNNNNNNNNNNNNNNNNNNNNNNNNNNNNNNNNNNNNNNNNNNNNNNNNNNNNNNNNNNNNNNNNNNNNNNNNNNNNNNNNNNNNNNNNNNNNNNNNNNNNNNNNNNNNNNNNNNNNNNNNNNNNNNNNNNNNNNNNNNNNNNNNNNNNNNNNNNNNNNNNNNNNNNNNNNNNNNNNNNNNNNNNNNNNNNNNNNNNNNNNNNNNNNNNNNNNNNNNNNNNNNNUUUUGGGGUUUUCAGUUUUGAAUUUCAUGCAAAAAUGAAACUCGAACCUAUUAAAGUAAAAUUCUUUUUUGUGAUUUUCUUUUAAGAUGUAUAUGACACCUACUCUAAAUGAAGAGUGAAGAAAAUCUUUUUGAAUUUUUCAAGUUCCUAUACAAAAUGAAACCUAUGAUUACCGAAGAAAAAUCUUUUUGGGUUUUCGAUUUGAAAUUUAUACAAAAAUGAAACUUGAAACUAUUAAAGGAAAAUCUUUUUUAUGUAGUUUCUUUUAAAGAUGUACAUGGAACGCCUACUCUAAAUGAAGAGUGAAGAAAAUCUUUUUGAAUUUUGAAAUAAGAUCAACCAAAAAUAAAACCUACGACUAUUGAGGAAUUUUUUUUUUGUAUUUUCUUUUCAAGACAUGUAUGAAACACGUACUCUAAAUGAAGAGUGAAGAAAAACUUUUUGAAUUUUUUUUUCAAAUAAGAUCCCCGAACCCACAAUAGGUUGCCUACGUAUUUCACUCCCGAGAGAGGAGAACCAGAGGUGCGUAGUUCAUCCAGAUUGGACAAUUAAGUAUUAAAUGACAAACUAAACCCUGAAUUGAGAGACACGACUAAAGACAGACGAAUAAAAUCUUUUUUGAGUUUUUAAUUAGAAACUAACACCAAAAACUAUGAAAGAAAAAAACUUUUUGAUAUUUUCAUUAUAUAAAAAUGUACAAAGCUCCUAUUGAAAGGAAAAAAUUUUUUUUUUUGGAUUUUUCGAAUUGUGAAUACUUACUAAAGAAAUAAAAGAAAAAUCUUUUUAACGUUUUUAAUUUUUGGGAAAAUGAGUGCAAAAAGUAAAUUUUUUUUUUUUGAAUUGUGAAAAAAAAAGCCAUAAAGAACCCUAAAAACAACCAAAUCUUUUUUUUUUUUCACUCUUUUUUUUCUUCCCUUUUUUUCAAUAAUUUCUUGCCUACACACUUUAUUUCUAACUCAUGCUUUUUCCCGAAUCAGUUUGUCAAAUGACUUUGUUACCCUCAAAGAUGCAACAUUUAGCAUGUAGGGAUGCUUUAGAGGUGAGUCUCGUACAAAGGGCCACGUGGGUCCCGCUAGAUCUCAAUAUGAUGCAAAUAAGCAUGACCUAAAGGCUGACGUUCGCUGGGGUUCACUAACAAGGCUGUUCGGGAGAGCAUAUGGUCGAUAGUGACUACGCUAGCUUUCCACCCACUCUAUACCAGCCGAAGGCUCCCCCUCCUAAAAAAUAAGGGUGACUCAACUAUAGGUCGUGUACACAGCGUGUACUACAGAAGUUGUUGCAGAAAGAAUUGACUCGGGUUAUACAAAUGAUGCCAGAUAUAAAACGGUAACACAUAAGAGAAAAACUGUAAUCACGUAGCACAUAGGCACUCAACAACGAUAAACAAAUACAAACAAUAACACAAACAAUGUCUAUACACUCAUCAUGUCAAAACUAAGCCGAUAUAACUCCAAAAAUAAGCUUGAAUUCUGAAAAGGUUCCCAAGCAAAGUCGCCAGAGCUGUCACACCCUUUGUUUUUCACCUAAAAAGAUUGUAUUUUAAGUUCGGAAGGGUUUUAUUGUUAAAGUGACAAAAGUGAAGCUUUAUUUCGAAAAGGACUUUUUAUAUUCAAAACUCAGAGUCGUCACUUGGCAUAAUCCGGUUUGCCAAGUCACCUUUGGACAAUCCUUUUCAAAAUAAUUUGACUCUUUAAAAUUGGUUUGCGAACAAAGAUUUCGGCUAAGGAAUUUUGUUGACCCGGGGGAAGGUGUUAGGCACCCCUCGAUCCCAUGGGUUGACCACGGUCGCUUGGUGGAGCGUAUCGACUGAUUUGACACUAAAAACGUAUAAACCACACAAAAACACACAAAAUAAUCAAACAAACAAAAACAAAACAAUCCAAAAAUAUAGUGUUCAGUCCGAGUUAUACAGUCCCAAAAUAUAAAAAUACGAAAAUGUAACUCCUAUUCUAAACUAAUUCUAAACUAUGCUCCAAUACCUUACCCGAUGCCUUGGGCCUUGAUCACGAACAUCCUCCGAGUACAAAAUACUUCGGGGCAUUCCUCGGCGAAUAAACACAAAUACUUCGGGGCAUUACCCGGGCAAAUGAUACACUUGAUCCAAAAAGAAAACAACCAAACCAAUUCAUUCAACACAUAUAUCAAGCAUUCAAUAUUCCAAGAGUCCUAAAUUUGCCUACCCGACCUACUUUGCCAAUUAAUUCUCAUCCUAAACGUUGUAUUAUAGAAGUUAUCCAAAAUCGAUAUCUAUUCUGAAAUGAACAAUCAACAAUCAUGAAUCAAAAUGCAACAAUAUUUACUUUAUCAAUUUUUCGAUCUUUUUUCCCAAAAUCCAACUUAACCCCAAAUCAAACUACAUGAUUAACAUACUUCGCAACCAGAUUGACAACUAAAUAAUAACGAGUGAAAUUGCUCCAAUCAGAAUCAACAAAAAUCACACCAUUCAAAAACAUUCACAAUAAUAGGAACAAAAGAUGAAGAAUUGACCUCAAUUGAUGACUUUAUUUUGACAACUUAUGAUGGAUCGGAGCUCAUAAACGGGACCUAAUCGAAACCUUAAAUCGAAAUGGAGCACGAUGGAAAGCAGUCGAAUCUGCCAGUUUUCCCUCAUUCAAACCAGUCACUGUUCUCGAUCUUUCCGUCGAUUUCAACUCUUUCGGCCAGCACUCUCUCUCGAUUCAUUUUUUUCCUCACACAGAUCUCUCUCUACCUCUCUCGAAUCUCUUCUCUCUCUUGGUUUCUCUCCACGUUACUCUUUCUUUCUCCCUGAUUUCUGUAUAUAUGUGUGUGUGUUUCAGAAAGAAGAAAAGAAGAGAGCCAAAUUGGCGUCUCUCUGAAGAUGAUGAUAAUCUUUCUCUCUCCCUAAUUUCAGCUCCUUUCCUGCCUCUAAUCUGUGCGUGUACUGAUAUAUCGAUGGGAGAUCUAAGAUGGGUUUGAGAUAUGGUGGUGCGUGUGUAUAUUUUCUAGUGUGUGCAGGUGUAUUGUUUUGUUGAAGAUGAGUGAAGAAGAUCCGUUCUUGUGGGUGUCUUUUUGUCCCUCUCUAAUGGGUAUCCAUUCUGUUGUUUUUGGAUGAUCUCUAUCUCAAUGGAGAGAAUGUUGUGUAUAUCUCCAUAUGGAAAAUAGAAUUCCUCCCUAGUAUUCCCUGUGGGCCCUCCCCCUUUUUCAUAUGAUGUGUGUCUAUAUAUUCCUAAUAAGAAUGGAAAUUGAUCAAUAGUCAUGUGGGCCCCCUCUCUUUUGUUUUAUUCCAAGGGAAAGAAGAAAAAUGUGACGUAUUUGUUGUAUGG
rnacentral:lncRNA from 1 species